ACCUACGGGAGGCAGCAGUGGGGAAUAUUGCACAAUGGGGGAAACCCUGAUGCAGCGACGCCGCGUGAAGGAAGAAGUAUUUCGGUAUGUAAACUUCUAUCAGCAGGGAAGAAAAUGACGGUACCUGACUAAGAAGCCCCGGCUAACUACGUGACAGCAGCCGCGGGAAUACGUAGGGGGCAAGCGUUAUCCGGAUUUACUGGAUGUAAAGGGAGCGUAGGCGGUGCAGCAAGUCAGAAGUGAAAGCCCGGGGCUCAACUCCGGGACUGCUUUUGAAACUGUUGAACUAGAUUGCAGGAGAGGUA
rnacentral:rRNA from 1 species